rnacentral:rRNA from 4 species
CCUGGCGGCAGUAGCGCGGUGGUCCCACCUGACCCCAUGCCGAACUCAGAAGUGAAACGCCGUAG